GUGGGGAAUAUUGGACAAUGGGGGCAACCCUGAUCCAGCCAUGCCGCGUGAGUGAUGAAGGCCUUCGGGUUGUAAAGCUCUUUUGUCAGGGAAGAUAAUGACGGUACCUGAAGAAUAAGCCCCGGCUAACUUCGUGCCAGCAGCCGCGGUAAUACGAAGGGGGCUAGCGUUGUUCGGAAUUACUGGGCGUAAAGGGCGCGUAGGCGGAUCGGCAAGUCAGAAGUGAAAUCCCUGGGCUCAACCCAGGAAUUGCUUUUGAGACUGUCGGUCUUGAGUACAGGAGAGGUGAGUGGAAUUCCCAGUGUAGAGGUAAAAUUCGUAGAUAUUGGGAGGAACACCAGUGGCGAAGGCGGCUCACUGGCCUGUAACUGACGCUGAGGCGCGAAAGCGUGGGGAGCAAACAGGAUUAGAUACCCGUGUAGUCC
rnacentral:rRNA from 1 species